UGAGGGGAAAGGAAGAGGUUUCCAAGCUGAGCCAUGCUGGCUCAGGAAUUCUGGAAGUUGAAUCUUGCUAACAUGAACAUUCGUUGUGUGGUGCAGAAGUAAUUUUAUAUAAAGCUUUUCCCUCCACCCUGACCCCAGAUCUGCGAUGUAGUUCCAUUGAGGACUCCCUGUUGAGUGAGGUGGUGCUGCCUAUCCCACAUUGUUCUAUCUUACAAAGGAUCUUCCCAGGUAUUGAUGCCCGGCUGAUUGAUCCACCUUUUACCCUUUUUGUAGAAAGAGAAGGAGAAGAAAGAAAAGGAGAAGGAGGAGAAAGAGAAGGGAGCAGCAGGAGAAGAGAGAAGAGGAAGAAGGGAGAAGCAGAAGUUAUUUAGUCUUCUCCUUUCGACCUUCCAAAGCUGCCAAAGGGGAAAAAAAAACUUUUGAAUGGCAACCACCUGAACUUAUUGCAGCAAAAGCAAAACAGACACCGUGUCACCUUAAAGAUUAAGAAAGUACUUUGUCAUGGUGUGUGGUUGCCUCCACCCUAUGGAACAGCCUCCCGCCAGGGGUGAGGUUGGCCCCCACUUUCCUUGCCUUCUGGAAGAGCGUGAAGACCAGGCUCUGCCAAUUUGCGUGGGGAUCAAAGAGCAUCAUGUCACCUUGGGAGUGGUUGGUGCUUUGAGGGUUCUCCCUCUGCCUUUUAGCUUCUCUUUUAUCUUUAUUUUUUCUUUGUUUCUUGCCCUGUUUUAAUUCCAUUUUAAUUGUAUCUUUUUUACACAGUUUUAUGAGUUUUACCUGUAAAGCACCCAGAGUUGCUUAAAUAGUGAGAUGGGUGGUGCCUAAAUUUGAUUAAUUAAUAAAUUAAAUAAAUAUUGGUACAUAAGCUUUUAGGAUUUUCUCCUUUAUUAACAAGAUACAAAUGAAUUGGAGCAAUGUUAAUUUUGUUUGUUUGUUACAUAUAUUUGCAUGCACAGAUCGUAAGACAGUUACAACAUCUGAUUACAUUCCAGUAUUCAAAUCUGGUAGGGUUUUUUUUUUUUCCAUUUUCUUCUGUAGACAGAUACAUACAAAUGCAUAUGUGGUAUACCCAAAAUUAGGGAACAUAAAUCUAUUGCAAUAUUUUAUUUUAUAUUUUAUUUUAUUUUAUUUAUAGACAUUUAACCUGCCUCUAUUAUGUUUAAUUAAUUAAUUUUUUUAGAGAAAUUGGUA